GUUGAGCUGUCAUUAGACGCUUCGUGCCAAGAAUGGAUGGUUUGCUAAAACUGGCGAAAGGCAACAAAGACCGGUUGCAAUACACGGCUGAAAUCCGAUUAGCUGCCUAUAGUAUUGGCAAGACCUUCUCUAGAGGAGACGUACAAAAUGGCUUCUAUGAGCUAAACGUCGAUUCAAAAAGCCUGUGGUCAAAGUCUACUGUAGAGUUGGUAUUAUGCAAGACAUUCGGCAGCGCCUAAAACGCCAUGAAUGUAACACAGCGUAAGUGUUUAUCGUUUUGCACUGGUGUACGCACUUUAGGGAUAAAUUUUGUCCCGUGUGCAUCUAGAGGAUCGCGACGGCCUCGUCAU